rnacentral:SRP_RNA from 14 species
CAAGUCGCAUGCUUGGACUUCGGGCCCGCCCUCCCGAGCGCCCUUUCCGCUGCCGGUCUCCUCGGCGAAUUCCUCGGAAGCGAACACGGAGGCGAACACGGCGAGAGGCCGGCACCACAGCAUAGCGCGCAGCGGUGAUCCCCCCC